rnacentral:rRNA from 1 species
GAUGAACGCUAGCGGCAGGCUUAAUACAUGCAAGUCGAGGGGCAGCGGGGUAGCAAUACCUGCCGGCGACCGGCAAACGGGUGCGGAACACGUACAGAACCUUCCUUUAAGUGGGGGAUAGCCCGGAGAAAUCCGGAUUAAUACCCCGUACAUUGUGUGGUGGCAUCAUCAUAUAAUUAUAGAUUUAUCGCUUAGAGAUGGCUGUGCGGCUGAUUAGGUAGUUGGUGAGGUAAAGGCUCACCAAGCCAGCGAUCAGUAACUGGUGUGAGAGCACGACCAGUCACACGGGCACUGAGACACGGGCCCGACUCCUACGGGAGGCAGCAGUAAGGAAUAUUGGUCAAUGGACGCAAGUCUGAACCAGCCAUGCCGCGUGAAGGAUGAAGGCCCUCUGGGUUGUAAACUUCUUUUAC